AUGAGCAGUUUGGGAGCCUGUCCAGGUUUCACUUGUUUCUCCGAACAAGGAACCAAACUCAUCCUUGCGGGUGAGGUGCAUCGGCCCACCGUGACCCUCUUCCCUCCUUCGAAGGAGCAGCUGCAAACAGAACAGGCCACAGCCGUGUGCGUGGCCAAAGGGGGCCCCCAAACUUGGACCCUGGGUUGGAAGGUUGAUGGCGCCCCCGCUACCUCGGGGGUGUCGCACAGCUCCCUGGAAGAGGCUGAUGUAGGUGGGCUUUACAGCUGGACCAGCACCUUGAGCCUCUCACCGGACCAGUGGCGCAAGGCCCAAUCAGUGAGCUGCGAGGCCAGCCUAGCCGGGCAAAACUCCGUCACGCAAACCCUGCCGAACCCAGGACAAUGCUCAGAGUAGAGCCCGAACCCGUGUCUGUGUCUUUGCGACGUUGAAGCAUUGCGAAAUAAAAAUGUCUGAGUAUCACCA